rnacentral:rRNA from 1 species
ACGCUCGACACCUACGGGAGGCGGCAGUUGGGAAUAUUGGACAAUGGAGGAAACUCUGAUCCAGUGACGCCGCGUGAAGGAAGAAGGUCUUCGGAUUGUAAACUUAUUUUGUCAGGGAAGAAAAAAUGACUGUACCUGAAGAAAAAGCACCGGCUAACUACGUGACAGCAGCCGCGGUAAUCUGAGCGGGCUGGCAAGGC